rnacentral:rRNA from 1 species
UACGAAGGGGGCUAGCGUUGCUCGGAAUUACUGGGCGUAAAGCGCACGUAGGCGGCUUUCUAAGUCGGGGGUGAAAUCCUGGAGCUCAACUCCAGAACUGCCUUCGAUACUGGAAAGCUCGAGUCCGGGAGAGGUGAGUGGAACUGCGAGUGUAGAGGUGAAAUUCGUAGAUAUUUCGCAAGAACACCAGUGGCGAAGGCGGCUCACUGGCCCGGUACUGACGCUGAGGUGCGAAAGCGUGGGGAGCAAACAGG